rnacentral:misc_RNA from 1 species
AAGGAGUCUAACAUGCCUGCGAGUGUUUGGGUGGAAAACCCGAGCGCGUAAUGAAAGUGAAAGUUGAGAUCCCUGUCAUGGGGAGCAUCGACGCCCGGACCUGACGUUCUCUGACGGUUCUGCGGUAGAGCAUGUAUGUUGGGACCCGAAAGAUGGUGAACUAUGCCUGAAUAGGGUGAAGCCAGAGGAAACUCUGGUGGAGGCUCGUAGCGAUUCUGACGUGCAAAUCGAUCGUCAAAUUUGGGUAUAGGGGCGAAAGACUAAUCGAACCAUCUAGUAGCUGGUUCCUGC